AUUGAACGCUGGCGGCAGGCCUAACACAUGCCAGUCGAACGAGUGGCGGACGGGUGAGUAAUGUCUGGGAAACUGCCCGAUGGAGGGGGAUAACUACUGGAAACGGUAUCUAAUACCGCAUACCAUCGGAUGUGCCCAGAUGGGAUUAGCUAGUCGGUGGGGUAAUGGAUCACCAAGGCGACGAUCGGUAGCUGGUCUGAGAGGACGACCAGCCACACUGGGACUGAGACACGGUCCAGACUCCGACGGGAGGCAGCAGGGGGGAAUGUUGGACAAUGGGGGCAACCCUGAUCCAGCCAGGCCGCGUGGAGGAUGAAGGUCUUCGGGUUGUAAACUGCUUUUGGCGGGGAAGCGGUACCUGAAGAAUAAGCACCGGCUAACUACGUGCCAGCAGCCGCGGUAAUUC
rnacentral:rRNA from 1 species